AACUUUAUUCAUUUUCAACGGUUUUUUUUUUCUUAUUUUAGAGUAUCAUUUUAAAAAUGAUAGAUUAUGACUAAAAUGUUAUAGAAAUAAACUAUUUUAAAUUUGAAUAAAUUUACCUAAUUGAUACACAUGCUUUAUGUACAUUUUAUCCCUUAAUUUUAACUCAUAUUUAUGUCAUCCUUAUGCUUUAAUGUCGAGGAUUUUACACUUUUUGGUACUGUGUUUGUUGUUUUGCCAAUUUCUGUAGGUUUUCCUUCAUUAUCAAGCCGUCACAAGCACUAAUUAUAUUUAUCCUCUUACUUUCGGAGGUUUGGUGACUUUAGGAACUAAGGUGGUGACAAAAGGGAAGUCAAAUUAAUGAAAAGAAGCCCAACCAAAGAAAAGGUUUUUUUGAUUGCAAAUUAAACCUGGGUUCAUUAGCUUCGAAACGAUUGGUCACAUGCCCGAUUCCUAUAAGAAACGUCCAAGUUAUGACAUUUCAAAGACGCGGUGCGUACCAGGUACAAACCAAUCGACUGGUCGACCAGGACCAGUCGACCCAACUGUUUCAGAUCUCCUACUCCUGUGCAUGUAGUGCUAAUGAUGGAGGAGGUUGCUUGUUGGACCAUCUCUACAAUCAUCAUGAAGGCAAGUGGAUGAGCACUUGAAAUUGGCUAUAAAUAUCCCUAAGGUUCUCAAGGGAAGUCACACCCAUCAGCUCAAAAGUUGAAGUUAGCUUUAUCCUCUCUUCUUCCUUAGCAUAUUCAUCCUUUAGUGUGUUCAAAGUAACUCUUUAAUCCAAAAACUUUUCCUAGACUUCACUUAAACAUUUCAUUUAGCAUAUUAGUUCCUAAUUUCAAGCUUUAAGUUCUAAUUUAGUUGAUAAAUAUUAAUAGCUAGAAGUUCUUUUCAUUUGGUAAUCAAUCAAAGUACUUGGAUAUUCCAGAAUUUUGUGGGUUUGAAUGUACAA